UAUUCCCAAGACCCAGAACCAUGACUGGCAUAUAGUAGAUAGCUUAACAGAUGUUUGUGAACUAGGUGAAUGAGUGAGUGCCCCAGCUCACCUCACUUGGUAGUGGCAAGAUGUGGCUUCCUACACAGGCCUAGGUUUGCAGUCGGCAGAGCUAUCUACAGGGUUGGCAGGAGACCCCUGAAAAGAAACCAGAGAAGCUUGCUGACAAAAGACUGGAAUUCUGGGCUCAGCCGCCUCCAGGACCGAGGGGCCCAUUGGGCAAUCUAUCACGGAGCACACCUGGCCUGCCCAAAGGACACAGCAG